GUAAUCAACAUCUAAUAACAAUACUGUAAGAAUAUCAAUUCUAAAGAUUUUACAUGGUAUCACUCGGGAAAAACAAUCUACGAUUUUUUUCUUUCGAUCCUAACUUUUCAUUGGUUUUCAUCUCAUCUUUCUAAAAUAUCAUCUUCUCUUAGAUGGAGAAUCAAUUGUUAAUUUCCGCUGCAUCAUCAUCAUCAAAAGGUUUUCCUAAGAAGAAGAAGAAAAAGAAAAAGAAGAAAUCAAAUUAUGAUGCUGGAGAAGAUUUUAAUUCUGCUGCUGGUAAUGUACAAUUUGGGUACAACGAUGAUGACUUACUAUUUGAAAGAGAAAUUUCAUAUGAUUAAUGAUUGGAAUUUUGAGGCUUCUGGAUUGUACCUUGUGAGGAGGCCGAGAUCAUCCAUUCCUCAUAAUGUGUCUGAUCACGCCAUUACACAACAAGAAGGAGUAUGUACUACGACAAAAGAAGUUUUGCGAGUACUGCGCAACAACUACAACCACAGUCAGUACCCUUGGUUCAUAUGAAACCAUCACCACCAGUACCGGUACCAGUACAGUUCUCAUCACUACCAGCAACAUUUGCAUAUGAAAUAGGGUCAUCAUCGUCAACACAAUCACCCGUCUAUGAAGUAAGGUCGUCACCGUCAGCACCGUCAUCAGCGAAUAUGGAACCCCUGAUUACCAUGAGAGGAAUUCCCUGUGACAUGAAUUGGUUCAACUACUCAUCAGCAAACAUAGCAUCAUGCAUCGACAAAGUACAACUACAACCUUUGGAUUCUAAAGCAGGUUUGUCGUCAUCACAAUCAUCAGGGAGUAUAGUGUAGUGGCCUACUUUGUUUGAAUAAUUUCAGUGUGGUAUGGAAGUGUUUGAUUACUCAUCAAAGAAUGUGACACCAGGAGUAGUAUACAAGGGGUAGCUUCAAGGAUGGUGUACUGAUUAAGGGAAAUUACUUCUUGUUUAUGAGUUUAUGUCAAUUGAGAUACCAUUAUCAGUAAUACUAUACUAUUGGAACUACUAUUCCCAACAACAGCAACAUCCACUUCUUAUCAACAGAAUCAACUAAUCAACAACAACAGCAACAAUUUCAAUAUCAAUCCAACAACAGUAGCUUCCGGGUAACAUCAACAUUCAUAUGGGUAAUAACUUUUUAAUAACAAUUUUCCCCAUUUGUUCAUUGUUAUUUCUUUUUGUGUGAGUUUAGCACAUGAAGUAAUAAUUUUCAAUACCUAACUGGUCCUAAAAACAUUUCAUAACCAGUUAUAUGACUUGUUACUUCAAAACAAGUCAUAUCAAUCCUUUAAAGAUCUGGUCUUACAAACACCAGUUUCUAAAUAUCAAUUUGAGUCUCUUAACCAACAGAGAACACCAAAAACAUUUGAGUCUCUUAACCAACAGAGAACACCUAUCCAAUUACCAGAAGCUACUAUUUCUGUUGUUAUCCACCUUGUGAUGCUGCUAAUUCUAGUGGUAUUGUUCAUACUUCUAAUACUUCUACUGGUGUCGUUACUUCUAAUAUGUGUUCAUACUUCUACUAGUGUUGUUACUUCAUACUUCUAAUACUUCUACAUUUUGCUGCUGACAACGUUACUUUCGUGCUUCUGCUGAUACUUCUGGAGCUUAGUGCUAGUUUAUCGUUCCUGCAGCUUACUUUUUUUUUUUUUGAGAGGGUUUAGUAUCAUCUUUCCUUUUUACUUGUCAAACUCUUACAAUGUCUUCCUGUAACGUUUGAGGGGGGUGUAUUAGGAAUAUAAGGUUAAGUCAUCUUGACUUGACUAAGUCUGUCUGAGUCUUAUAAAUACAUCUCACAUGUGUCUGUAAUCAACAUCUAAUAACAAUCCUGUAGGAAUAUCAAUUCUAAAGAUUUUACA